GCCAGGUGUGGUGGCGGGCACCUGUAAUCCCAGCUACUCGGGAGGCUGAGGCAGGAGAAUCACUUGAACCUGGGAGGCGGAGGUUGCAGUGAGCAGAGAUUGUGCCACUGCACUCCAGCCUAGGCGACAGAGUGAGACUCAGUCUCAA
rnacentral:SRP_RNA from 1 species